AUGGUGUGUGGGCUGAGCUGGCUUCUCCUCGUGGCUGUGUUAGGAGGGGUCCAGUGUGAGGUGCAACUGGUGGAGUCUGGGGGAGACUUGGUGAAGCCUGCGGGGUCUCUGACACUCUCUUGUGCAGCCUCUGGAUUCAAUUUUGGCAACUAUUGGAUGAACUGGGUCCGCCAGGCUCCAGGGAAGGGCCUAGAGUGGAUCUCAUGUGUUACUAAUGAUGGUCGUACAUACUAUGCCGACUCUGUGAAGGGCCGGUUCACCAUCUCCAGAGACAACAGCAAGAACACGGUAUCUCUGCAAAUGAGCCGCCUGAGGGAGGAGGACACGGCCCUGUACUACUGUGUGAGAGACACAACAGACUCUGUGCCAACUGACCUGCUGCCGUUAAACUCUACUUGGUCACCUUACACCUGGGAGUUCUGUUCUCCUGGACAGCCUGACCUCUCGUCCUCUAUCCACACACUAAGUGGACAUUCAGAUUUCCCCAAUCCUUCUCCACCCCUCACCCAUUGUAGAGGAGAGACCAGGUCCUGUGACGUGGGCAGCGCUGACCCCUUCACAGUGAGACAAGAUGCAAGGACCCAGACCAUCUCCCUGAGCCCCCACUUUCCCGACACCCCCAGAUAUGCCAUACCCCAGAGCCCAGGGACCCUUUUUACACUGAGGCUCAUGCAGAGACCAUUGCAGGUGUGA